AACUCUCAACCCCCUCAUUUUGUAAUGAAGUGAGUCGUGGGCUUGGAUUAUGGCUGUCUGUCGGCUUCAUUGCCGGCUCAGCUGAAAUACACGAGUAACCCAGUUUGAAAAACUGACGGCUUGACUCGGCGUAAUAAUUAUUAUCGCUGAGGACGUCUAACCUUCAAAUCGUUAGUGGUGCUUCUAAUGCAAAUCAUUUUAAGA
rnacentral:misc_RNA from 2 species